AACCCGACCCGAGUUACAGCGCACGUCGUCGAGGUGUGCGGUUGUGUCCCGGAUCGGUUCAAGUAGUUAGCUAAGGGAUUCGCCGGCGAUGAAUCGAAGAGGAUAGACCCUCGCAAGAGGCGCAAAUCAACGAUCCGAACUGAGCAGAGCCGCCAUGGAGGGAGGCAAUGGAGCGCCGGCCUCUCCUUCGUCUUCCCCCUCCUCUUCCACAAGCACUGCGCCAUCGGUCACGGUGGAGGAGUGGAGGGGAUCGUCCUCUACCAAGCUCUCCCGCACCGCUAUCCUCACCGCCGAUCGCUCCCAUCUCACCCUCUACAGAUCGGGAAGCCGAUGGGACGAUCUGGGCAGGAAGAUUCUUGAGGCGUUCAUCCCCGAGGGAUUCCCAGGCAGUGUGACUCCCGAUUAUGUUCCUUUCCAAGUAUGGGACUCCUUGCAGGGACUCUCAACUUACAUACGCUCCAUGCUUUCUACCCAAGCUCUUUUGAGUGCUAUUGGUGUUGGUGAAAAAUCUGCUACGGUCAUUGGUGCCACUUUUCAGUGGUUUUUGAGGGACUUCACUGGGAUGCUUGGAGGUAUUUUGUUCACAUUCUAUCAGGGUUCUAACCUUGACAGCAGUGCAAAGAUGUGGCGUUUAGUUGCAGAUUUCAUGAACGAUCUUGGAAUGCUGAUGGAUCUUGUGUCUCCUCUGUGGCCAUCAGCCUUCAUUGUAAUAGUAUGCUUGGGGAGCUUGUCAAGAUCAUUCACUGGUGUUGCUGGCGGAGCAACUAGAGCAGCAUUAACUCAACAUUUCGCACUACAGAAUAACGCAGCAGAUAUUUCCGCAAAGGAAGGUAGUCAAGAAACAGUUGCAACAAUGGUUGGAAUGGCUCUGGGAAUGCUGCUAGCUCAUAUCACAAUGGGGAAUCCUGUGGCUAUAUGGCUUUCCUUUUUGUCUCUCACCAUGUUCCACAUAUAUGCAAACUACAAGGCUGUUAGUUGCCUUUCCUUAUCAACAUUGAACAGUGAAAGAAGCUCAAUUCUGCUGCAAUAUUACAUGCAGAACAGGACAGGUCUUAGAAGCUCUGUUUUACCAUAUGCUUGUAUACUUUACCAGUGCUUUCUCCACGAGAGGUUUCAAGGAGGGAGCACAUAUUUCCUGUUUGGACCACCUGGCAAAGGCCAGGUAACGUGAAGCCGCUGCACCACUGCAUUCACUUGGGUGUUAAAGCUUCGACUCUCAGCCAUUCCGAUAUGAUGGAGCUCUCAGGAACUGCAAGUUCCCACUACAAGAAAGUGAACUACUUAUUGAUGGAGAGGAAAGGAGUCAUCCGGGUCAUCAACCAUAAAGAGGCAACAUCAGCUGAUAUAUUGCGGUCCUUCUUCCAUGCUCUUAUCCUCGCAAACCUAACCGGCAAAGCCAAAUCUCUCCAUACAGAAAGCCGCCUUUGGAUGGAAGAACAUUACCAUGAUUUCAUCGCAAAGUUGAAGUCAGCAGGGUGGGCAACAGAGCGUCUUCUAUCUGGUUCCAUCGUUUGGAGAGCUCUUUGGGCUCAAAGCCCCUCAGAGGAGAAGAUCAACUGAGGUACAAUGUCAUGUAUUAUUCAGACCUUCAAUUUAUAAAUAUGCUUGCAUAGGAAAAAUUAAUCUCUGGACUCUCCAAAAUAUUUCUUUUUGAUAAGACCACUGAAGCUUUUAUAUGUGUUUGUCAAUCAUCAAUCAAACAGUCAGUUCAAGAGUUUCAA